AUGACCUGGGCUCCUGUUCUCCUGCUCCUCACUCUUUGCACAGGAGACAGUUCUCAGGCUGUGGUUCUUAGCCAGGAGUCAUCACUCUCUGUGUCUCCAGGAGGAUCCGUCACAAUGACCUGUGGCUCCAGCACUGGACCUGUCACCACUGGUCACUAUACUGUCUGGGUCCAGCAGAAAUCAGGGCAUGUUCCCUGGGGACUGGUAGGUGGUACUACUACCAGGUACCCUGGGAUCCCUGCCCGGUUCUCAGGCUCUAUUCUGGGGAACAAAGCUGCUCUUACCAUCACUGGGACACAGCCUGAGGAUGAGGCUGAUUAUUAUUGUGUCCUGUGGUUCAGCACUGUUUGCCACAGUCUUAGACUCCAAUGA